rnacentral:lncRNA from 1 species
AAUUUUGCAAAUUAUUUUUGCUGAUUUGAUUUGAUCCAUACUGGCUCAUCUUGAUUUUCCUUUUCUCUUGGGGUUUCAAAGGUAAUUUUUCUUACUGUUGUUGCUUAUAAUCGUAUUUCCUUUAGAUUACACGUUUUUAGAGAUAAUUUGUUAGCUAAACAUAGAAAUUAUGUUGAAUCCUCAUCUUCUGUUGAUUGCCUGUUUUUUUGUGGAAAUGUUAUUAAUUCAAUUUUUUGUUUUGGGUGAGAUUCAAAAUGGGUAUUAAUUCGUUUUCUGUUAUUAUUUCAUUUUCUACGAGUAUCAAACCAUGUGAUCUGUCAUAUUCUAUGUUAAUGUCACCGACUCACCAAACUUGGAAGUUAUCUGAUAUAUUUGUGUAAAAUCAUGCUUUAAUCUAUUGGGUUGUUAUGUUGAUCUUUCACUCGAAUUGGUUUGUGGUGAAUGGUUUAAUUUCAACACAACCUCGAUCUAAGAUUCUGUCAGCCUUAUCUCCAUUAUCUUCUUGUGCAGGGUCUUCCUUGUUUAACUGUUUUUGGGUGAUUGAAAUUCUGAAAUUCAUCCAUUAAUGAUUAAUCUUGCCAUCCAUGUUUAACUGUUCAAGCCUUCAAGGAAUCUAACAGCAAGUGAAGUGAGCAAUUGUUCUAAGGUGAGCAAUUUUUGAGUACUUUUAAUCUUUUAUUAUAAGGUGUGAACUGUGAUUGGGUCAUCAAUUUUGGAACAUUUUCACAUUGUCAUUUGAUUUCAUUUUCUUUGUUUUAUUUUUUGAUUUUAAGUUAAUAAAUUUAGUUCUUCAACAUGAAAAUUAGAACUUUCUUGUGCGGCCAUGACAACGUGUUUGCCUUUGUCAAUUGUGUCUGGAAAUAAAAUUAAAUGUAUGGAUGUUGUAUUGAUUAUGAGUAUUAUUUAUAGUAGUUAUGUAGACAGAUGGAUAGAGUUAGAAGAGGAUUAAAAUUCUAAUAGAUUUAGUUACUUUCACUAUCUCCACGUCUCUGUCAUUCAUCCCUUCUCAAUUUUGUGCAUAACUUGUUUACUAGUUUACUCGUUAAAAGAGGAUUAAAAUUCUAACUUAAAAAAAUUUGGAAACUACUUUUUGCUCAGGAGAAUGUUCUAUUUCACUAGUAUACAUUUAAAUGCAACCUCCUGCUCACAAAAAAUAAUUACUACUCUAGCUGGGCUUCCAAGUUCACGAGUAGAUAUCCACUUGGUAAUCAAGUAUUCUUUCAGAAAAAAUUGAACACUGAUUAAUUCAAUUUCUUAGCUAUUUAUAUCCAUAUACAUGCAUAGACAAUAUAAUGUUUUUUUAAAUCACACAUAUGCGCCUCUGAUUUUUAGUUUGUUUUACUUCAAUUUUGUUUCUUAUGGAUGAUCCAGGAAUUCAACUACGCCAGCUAUAUACUGCGUAUCUUGGUUUAUUGUUGUUCAGGGGGAAGAUUUAGCCCCUGUUGACAUAUUGGCAUAUC